CCUACGGGGGGCUGCAGUGGGGAAUAUUGGACAAUGGGGGCAACCCUGAUCCAGCCAUGCCGCGUGUGUGAAGAAGGCCCUCGGGUUGUAAAGCACUUUCAGUGAGGAAGAACGCCUGGUGGUUAAUACCCAUCAGGAAAGACAUCACUCACAGAAGAAGCACCGGCUAACUCCGUGCCAGCAGCCGCGGUAAUACGGAGGGUGCGAGCGUUAAUCGGAAUUACUGGGUGUAAAGCGCGCGUAGGUGGCUUGAUAAGCCGGUUGUGAAAGCCCCGGGCUCAACCUGGGAACGGCAUCCGGAACUGUCAAGCUAGAGUGCAGGAGAGGAAGGUAGAAUUCCCGGUGUAGCGGUGAAAUGCGUAGAGAUCGGGAGGAAUACCAGUGGCGAAGGCGGCCUUCUGGACUGACACUGACACUGAGGUGCGAAAGCGUGGGUAGCAAACAGGAUUAGAUACCCCAGUAGUC
rnacentral:rRNA from 1 species